AGCCGGUAGUCCACGUGCUACUUGUAAAGUUCAUGUUAUCGCUUUAUAAGCGCUAAUAAAAGCACCGUACACUGUCUUGUACUAACCGUACAAAUUUAGUCGCAUUUAAAGCUCCUAAUACCUCUCUGGCGAAAUUGUCCCAAUGGACUGAAGCAAUUUAAUUUUGGUCAAAUAUUGGUCAAAAUAACUCUUUAUAUUGGUUCAGCGCAUGUAUAGGUAUCGUAGUUGUCGUUUGUGUAUAUACUACAUACAUAUAUGUUAACUAUAUUUAAAAACUAGGGCUCUACAAGUCUACACCUUUCCUAAUAUUAUCCUAAGGGUAAUCGAAUGUGCGACACGUUCCAUUCCCAGCUGUAGGUGUACAAAUAUUAUUUUCUAUACGAAUCUCUAAAAGUAUUACUCGAACACUAAUCUGGCAUUCGAUUAACAAUAUUGUGUAAAUGAUACGUGAUGCGAAAGAUAAGCUCAGAAGUUUUCCCAACUUCGAAAAGACAUAAAUCAGGUCUCUUUUGGAAUAAGGAAAAAGUAAGUUGAAUAUUCGAUAUUACUUAAAUAGAUACUUUAAGUACAGUAAACCACGUGUACUUAGCAGAAACGUUUAAAUUCCCAUAAACGUUUAAAUGCAGCCAUGUCUUCAAAAGACAACUAUAAUAUAAUAAGUUAGCCAUAUAGGCACAGAUUUGUUCGGCCGUCCGCUGGUCACGUCUCAUAGGGCCUACCGCGAACCACGUUCUUGUAAAUUCGUACGUAAAUGUGACAGGGAGGCAACAUGUCUGACGUGGUUCGCGGUAGGCCCACAGAUCUGAUCCGCGACUACGCCACACACGGCAAUGGACAUCACUACAUCAGUUGUCAUCGGGAUUUAACUAGUAACGGUUGUCUCCAACAAUGUCUCUUUGGAAGUAAUCCUAUGAAUAAGUCCAAAGAGACGUCUGAUAAUUAGCUUAAGAUAAUUAUAUGUAAUACUGUCUUACUAUUUAUAAGGGCUUGUUGCUAGGCCUACAUUAAUAAAUUAUAUUUGAAUUGAAUUGAAUUGCUCCUGGAGCAUAUAUAAGUAUGAAACGUUAUAGGUUUUAUGUUUUAGGAAAAAAUGGGAAAACAAAUUUGCUAAGUAAAAAUACCCUGUUAAUAAGAUAAUUAAAUGAGACUUCAUAGAACGGAUUCCAGUACUACUUUUUACCUAACACUUAACUGGCCACUUCACGUUGAUAAAUCACAUGACACGUUGACACUUCUAUGACAUUUAAGAGAAACAAUUAUUGACAUGACGAUAAAGUUAUUGUUGUAAUGUAAAUUAUCAUCUCUUAAAAUAUUGGUAUCUAAUUUGUUAGUACCUUCUAUACAUACUAAUAAAAUUACUCGCACUGUCAAGAAUGUGAGGUUAGUUACCGUAAACUAUGCCAAGUUUGCUCCCCACUGUGUAAUUGUGCUCCAACAGUUUUUAUAUGCACAUUAAUACUGUACCACAACCUCAUUCUGAUGAACAAACCACAAUAUAAUAAUUUUGGAGCAAUGUAGGCAUAUUUAACGGUAUUGUUAUUCGUGCUAACCCAUAUAAUAAGUAACAUUAAAAUGUAGGAUAAAUUCCUUGUUCUAGUUGGCGAAAUCGACACAUAAUCUUAUAUCGUUUCCGUCAUUCUCGCGUGGCUGAACAUCCCUUAGAUGUCCCGUUUACCUAAACCUUCGCGGUUGAUUGUCUAUACAGUUGAAGUAACGAAGGAGUUGAGUGAAAAUUACGAUGCGUCAAUAAUAUCUUCUUGCUUGCAGUUGGAUCGUCUGUUUCAGGUUAGCAUGGGAAUCGAGUAAUAUGUAGGUGGGGGCCACUGAUACCUAAUUUACUGAAACGGUAGUUUUUGUUACGACUACUGCUUCAGCGCUAAUCACAACAUGUUGUCGUCUUGCCUCUAUGAAGCAUUUCCUCUACAUAGCGGGAAACCUAUGUUAUCUGCUACGACGUAGCGCUAUGCCAAAAGUGUAAUGUCAGUGACGUAGUAAAGCUGGAAAGGUCAUAGUGGGCUAGAAACGUUUAACAGUACCUACUUACUUGCAGGAGUUCUAUAAUAAAAAUUGUGUGUUUUAAAGUGGCAAAUAAAACACAGCUAUAAUUUUUUUUACUCAUCCUUUAUUUGAAACGGCAAACGUCCAAGUCAAUAUCAAACGAAAAUUACUUCAGACUUAAAGCAAUUCCAGUUCAGAAGUUGAGUGAUUAAAACUUGUAGAAGUAAACAAAUUACUAGCCUUCAAACAGAGCGACAUCUAAGGGUUUCUGUGCCACUACAGCCCAUGUUAUAUUCACGUAGAUAUAGAUAGAUAAAGAUUACCGAAGAAAAAAUAUAUAAAAUUGUGCAGAAA